rnacentral:rRNA from 1 species
GUAGGUGGCAAGCGUUGUCCGGAAUUAUUGGGCGUAAAGCGCACGCAGGCGGUUCUUUAAGUCUGAUGUGAAAGCCCGCGGCUCAACCGUGGAGGGUCAUUGGAAACUGGAGAACUUGAGUACAGAAGAGGAAAGCGGAAUUCCACGUGUAGCGGUGAAAUGCGUAGAGAUGUGGAGGAACACCAGUGGCGAAGGCGGCUUUUCUGGUCUGUAACUGACGCUGAGGCGCGAAAGCGUGGGGAGCAAACAGGGAUUAGAUACCCUGGUAGUCCACGCCGUAAACGAUGAGUGCUAAGUGUUAGGGGGGUUUCCGCCCCCUUAGUGCUGCAGCUAACGCAUUAAGCACUCCGCCUGGGGAGUACGGCCGCAAGGCUG